UAUGAAUCUGAGGUUUUCCCUCAUUUUAAAAACUAUUUCCCUGACAUCAUGGUUAAGUACAUUGAGGAAAAUAAGAAUAAUCUACUUCAAACCAGUUUAUGUAUAAUAGGGUAAUGUAUCAAGAUGAUUCAAGGAAUCAAAAGAAAUUGUCUUGACUUUCCUGAAGAACUAGAGCUAAAGAGUAUGAAGCCAUUAGGGAAUCCUUUUUUUUUUUUUUUCUUUCAUUUCUUUUUCUCUAUCUUCGAGUUUCUUGGUCUCUCAUUUCUAUGUUCUUCCUGUGAAGCAGACAUUCUUUUCUCUGUCUCUGAAGCCUAGCUUUGCUUUUGACGAUUGCAGUCAGAAACUAUGUUCAAAUGAACCUAGUUCAAAUAACAAAACAGAAAGGCUAGUGUUGAAUGCAAAUUCAAAUUCCAGGGAGAAAAACUGAAUGGUGUAGGUUAGAUCACUUAGCUUCUCUGAGCAGUCAGCUUAUGAUCAAGGCAAAGUAGCUGUGAGCACAGAACAUAAAACCUUGUAGUUUCCUUGAAAGGAUGAGAUAGAUAUAAAAAAAAUAAUUAUACUUGUUAUGGUUUGAAUUAUCUACUUAUUUAUUAUCAGAACACUUUGAGCCAGAUCCUGGGAGCUUUAGCAAAGGGGUAAAAAGUGAAAGUUAAUAUUUAAUCCUUAACAAAUUAGUUCACUACUGAAAUUUAACACAUGGCUUAGUAUGAAAAUACGUGAGAUGGAUCUGGUGAGAAAAUGGUGACAAGAGGAAAGAUAAACUCCAAAGUGACUACUACUGUUCUCAGUAAGCAACACAACGUGCCUUGCCUGAUGCAGUGCCUUCAAGAGACAGGUAUAUGGGAAGAAGAUGCAAUAAGAGGAGAAUCUACUGAGAAGACAAAAGUUCUGUUUUGAAAAGAAGUGGUGAGAAUGGACAUCCUUGCCUUGUUCCUGAUCUUCAUGAAAGUCUUUCAACAUGGACUAUAAAUUAGCAGAUUAUGCUGUCCUUAUUGAAGGAGUGUGGAAGUACUCCAUCAUAUUCAGUUUUUUUGAAGAAUAUGAGGAAGAUUGAUGUUAAUUCUUUAAAUGUUUCAUAAAAGUUACCAAUGAAA